rnacentral:misc_RNA from 1 species
UUGAUUUUAGUUAUUUGUGAACGUACUACGAACAAACAAAAAAAUAUUAUAGUCAAAAAAAAACUAAAUCAAAACUUUUAACAAUGGAUCUCUUGGUUCUCGUAUCGAUGAAGAACGCAGCGAAACGCGAUAUUUCUUGUGAAUUGCAGAAGUGAAUCAUCAGUUUUUGAACGCACAUUGCACUUUGGGGUAUCCCCCAAAGUAUACUUGUUUGAGCGUUGUUUCUCUCUUGGAAUUGCAUUUGCUUUUCUAAAAAAUCGAAUCAAAUUCGUUUGAAACUUCAUUUAUUUCAACCUCAGAUCAAGUAGGAUUACCCGCUGAACUUAAGCAUAUCAAUAAGCGGAGGAAUCGGCUACUUGGUCAUUAGAGGAAGUAAAAGUCGUAACAAGGUUUCCGUAGGUGAACCUGCGGAAGGAUCAUUAACGAGUUUUAAUUGUUAGGUUAGAGUUGAGCUGGUUAAUCUAAUUAAUAUGUGCUUACUCUAAUCGAAACAAGUCCACUCAUUACUUAACACUUGUGAACUUAUUCAUUACAAACAUUAUUAUUUGUUAUUGGAACGUUUGAUUAUUAAAAAGUUAAUA